AUUGAACGCUGGCGGCAUGCCUUACGCAUGCAAGUCGAACGGUAACAGGUCUUCGGAUGCUGACGAGUGGCGAACGGGUGAGUAAUACAUCGGAACGUGCCCGAUCGUGGGGGAUAACGAAGCGAAAGCUUUGCUAAUACCGCAUAAGAUCUACGGAUGAAAGCAGGGGACCGCAAGGCCUUGCGCGAACGGAGCGGCCGAUGGCAGAUUAGGUAGUUGGUGGGAUAAAAGCUUACCAAGCCGACGAUCUGUAGCUGGUCUGAGAGGACGACCAGCCACACUGGGGCUGGGAGACGGCCCAGACUCCUACGGGAGGCAGCAGUGGGGAAUUUUGGACAAUGGGCGAAAGCCUGAUCCAGCCAUGCCGCGUGCAGGAUGAAGGCCUUCGGGUUGUAAACUGCUUUUGUACGGAACGAAAAGACUCUUUCUAAUAAAGAGGGUCCAUGACGGUACCGUAAGAAUAAGCACCGGCUAACUACGUGCCAGCCGCCGCAGUAACAC
rnacentral:rRNA from 1 species